CGGACACGGAUUUCAAAGGCAGCAGGAUGAAAGAUAACCAUCUAUCAGGUCUGAGUUCAUCAAGACAUGAAGACUCUGGAGUGGGACAAGAGAAGGAUGAUGGGGUGUAUAUUCGAAUAGACACAUUAAGUGAAAGCUGAUAAAUACAGAGGGCUGGACAGUGGUUUCAUUGAUUAAGUAAAGAGGUGGGACAAGGAUGCUGACAGGACAGAAGGAGGUGACAUUCAGGUUAGUGACAGUACAUCAGGGCCACCAUUUAAUUUAAUGUUAAUUUGUUUGCUUCCAAAAUCAGUAAUUGACAAAUCUUUACAAUUAUAUUUGCAAAGCUGAAUUUCUCAUAGGUGGAUAAAGUAUGACAGCAAUUGUGAAGACCUUAGACGUUGUGAAGUAUAUGGUUCUUCUCUCUUUCAUUUAUAUUGAUUUGACUUAAUUUUCUUGGUAAAUAAUAAUGGGGAUAUUCCCAAUAUAAUAUAUUUUAAUUAGUACAUGCUUAGAACAUAUCUCAUUUGCUUUGUAUCUAAGCUAUGUUUCAUUUUAUUUAGACAUUCAGCGCAGACAUUUUCAUCCAAAGCAACUUGAGGAAGAAAACAAGAAGCAGUUCAUCCUAAAAGUGGGCUGCUGUAUGGAAAGAGGAGCUGAGAAGAAAAGAGACGCUGGAAAGCAGUACUUCUUGUUGAGGACAAUCCUGAAUAGGAACACUUUCUCAUAUACACAUAGAUUAUAAUUUAGUGUUUGAUAUUUUUUUCAUUUUUAUUAAUUGUAUUGUUUUAAUUUUUCGUUUUAUUUGAAAUUACCUAAGUUAGAUUCAUGCUAAUACUUUAACUGGAACUUGUAUCUUUGCGUGAAGCUGGAUGUAGAGUUGGUUUCACUUUCACAUACACAUGAAGUUUCUAAAUAACUUAACUAACUUUUAAGUUCAGUUUGGUUUAAACUUGUAUUUACCCAUGGUUAUUCAUUUAAAUUUCAAUUCAUCCUAAUAUAUUAAUUUCAAUGAAAACUUCUGUAUUUGUGUAUAGCUGGUUAUUUGGGCAAACUACAUUUCACACCAAUGUAACUGUCACAAAGUUUUUUUACUAUCAGUUUGUUCUAAACUUUUGUUUGUUUACUAAGGAUGAAAUUGCUUUGUAAUUUAAGUUGUUGGUGUUAGAUUCAUGCCAAUAAUGUAUUUGAACAAACUAGUAUUUUUGUUUAUUGCUGGCAGUUUAUUCUAGAAGAGUUUUAACACGUACAAUGUUGUAGUGUUAUUGACUUGUGUGUUAUUUAUUAAUAAAAGGCAAACAAUUUGAAAGUAAUUUUUGUGUGAUUUAUUUAUUAAUAUAAUUUGGGCAAGAUUAGGCUGAGUGAUGGCUCAGUUUUGGAAGUUCUGGUUAAAUGCUGGUUUUAAUAUGGUUGACCUAUGGCUGAGAACUGGUACCGAUGUUAGAACCUGUUCUGGUCCAGGUUUGGGCCGAUUAUGGGCUAUUAUCUGGCAGAGACAUGGGCCAGUUAUGGCCCAUGUGUGGCCCUUGUCUGUAUUUCAGAACUGGGCCACUGUAGGGCCGUCAUUCUUCGUUGUAUGUGGGCCAAGGAAAAACUGGUUGUGUGGGCCAGAGC